rnacentral:misc_RNA from 1 species
UCAGUGUGUCACCUUGAUGGACUG